GUGGGCCAUCGCUUAUCUGAACGAGCAUUUACCUCUAGUUAUCUUCUCAUACUCAUACGUUCAUCCGGUUUUUUAAAAUCUGUUAUUACUUUAUUAUUGCUUUUGUAAUUCCUUGGGCAUCGACACCCUCUAACCAACAAAGAAACUGCAUUUUUCACAUUACCCUCUUAUAAAUUUUUUCUCAGUUGUACAUUUAGUUGAUUAUAGAGAACAUCUUGCCAUUCAUACGAAUGCAUUUGUCUGAUCUGAUCUGAUCGUGUCAACAUGCUAAUCCCUUCUUGCCACUGGCCGAAGCCUUUUUGUCAAAUUUUUAUCUUUCCAUUUAAACGUAUCUCACAAACAAGCCAUUUGGCACGUGUCACGUAAUAGGUAACAGAAAUGGCAUGGUCCCCUUUGGGUGUUGAGCCUGGCCUACACCCUCCGUGGAGCAUAAAUUUUGGACUUGGUUUGUCACCAUUGGCUGAUUUGAAAAAACAGGGAUUGGUAAAAAUGGAAAUAAAGCAUCAUUAACACAUCUUCUGUUAUUUGUUCUAUUUGCCAGGACCAACCAUUUUAUUCCCACACUUAUCAUUGGAAUUCUGGCAUGGUAGCUGUUGCAGGACACUCUCCUUGGUUAGUUAGUGAGGUUCCAGAAAGCAGCAUUCCAAGAGCAAGAAUCAAAUUUUCCGGCUGUCAACCCAAUAUAGAUCAUUUAACUUUGUUUUCUUGCAUUGAUGGUGAAAUUGAAUUAUAUUGAAAUUUAAAAGUUUUUUAAGCUAUUUACCUACUUAUGAGUUGCUGAAAUGUGUUAACAGAGCAAAAUGCAAAACUUGAAUUGAAUUCGACAAAACUAAUUUGAGUUUGCAGGGGCAGAAAUUUAAAGUUGGUGGCAGGAUAAUGGCUAUCAAUUGUUGAGAAUUUGAAUUGCAAAUUUUAAUUUUGUUAUGUAUAAGUAUAUAAGUACUUGUAGCCUAUAGAUUACUAAAUGAUGAUUUAAGUUGGCAUAUCUUGAAAAUGGUUUUCUUUUUCAAUAUUUAAAUUCAAUACAUAAAGACAUAAAUGGAA